ACCAGACUCCUACGGGAGGCAGCAGUGGGGAAUAUUGCACAAUGGGGGAAACCCUGAUGCAGCGACGCCGCGUGAGUGAUGAAGUAUUUCGGUAUGUAAAGCUCUAUCAGCAGGGAAGAUAAUGACGGUACCUGACUAAGAAGCUCCGGCUAAAUACGUGCCAGCAGCCGCGGUAAUACGUAGGGGGCAAGCGUUAUCCGGAUUUACUGGGUGUAAAGGGAGCGUAGACGGCAUAGCAAGUCUGAAGUGAAAGCCCAAGGCUCAACCAUGGGACUGCUUUGGAAACUGUUAAGCUAGAGUGCUGGAGAGGUAAGCGGAAUUCCUAGUGUAGCGGUGAAAUGCGUAGAUAUUAGGAAGAACACCAGUGGCGAAGGCGGCUUACUGGACAGUAACUGACGUUGAGGCUCGAAAGCGUGGGGAGCAAACAGGAUUA
rnacentral:rRNA from 1 species